rnacentral:sRNA from 1 species
GCCAGGGGUGGUGGUGCAUGCCUGUAAUCCCAGCAACUCUGGAGGCUGGGGCAGGAGGAUCACCCAGCCUCAGCAACAGUGAGGCACUAAACAAUUCAGUGAGACCCUUUCUCUA